CUCCUUGUGGUUUAACGGUAAAACGUACACUUCUCAUGCCGGAGACCCGGGUUCGAGCCCCUGUGUUGACG